rnacentral:misc_RNA from 1 species
GAUGAAGAACGUAGCGAAAUGCGAUAAGUAGUGUGAAUUGCAGAAUUCAGUGAAUCAUCGAAUCUUUGAACGCACAUUGCGGCCAUAGGUAUUCCUUUGGCCAUGCCUGUUCGAGCGUCAUUUACACCCUCAAGCCUAGCUUGGUGUUGGGCGUCUGUCCCGCCGUUUUCGCGCGCGGACUCGCCUCAAAGUCGUUGGCGGCGGUCGUGCCGGCCCCCUCGCGCAGCACAUUUGCGCUUCUCGGAGGCCCGGCGGAUCCGCGCUCCAGCAAGACCUUUCACGACUUGACCUCGGAUCAGGUAGGGAUACCCGCUGAACUUAAGCAUAUCAAUAAGCGGAGGA